rnacentral:rRNA from 1 species
AUGGCGGUCCCCACAUUGUCCUUCAACCCCUCCACCCUGGUUGGCUCAGACGCCGCCGGCUGCACCACCGGCACCGCAUGCGCCGGGCUCCCCGAGUGGGCUCUACUAUGCAGGGUGGGACGUAACUCACGCCGCCGGAACGCGACCACCGCCAGGAGCCACACAAGCGACGGCUUCGCCGUGGAGGUAUCCUUCUGGCUCGUCGACCCGCCGGGCGUCUACUACUUCUCCGUCAGCUGCCCCGGCUACCAAAACUUCACUUCCUCGCUCAUUUGCACCGAGGACGCCUUCGUCCUCUUCAGCGUCGCAUGCUGGGGUUCCACCGAGAACUACUUCAUCUACACAGCCCGCGGCCGUAACAACUCACGCGACUCCCGCAUCCACGCUGCCGGCGAUCCACCCCUGCACUGCGUCCCCCACCGAGACGCGCUCCUGCCCCCUUCUUGCGUCGGCCUAAGAUCCAUGGUGGUCCCCUCCACCCAGCUGGUUGGCUCAGACGCCGCCGGCUGCACCACCGGCACCGCACGCUCCAGGUUCCCCGAGUGGGCUCUACUCUGCAGGGUGGGACGUAAGUCUCGCCGGCGGAACGCGACCACUGCCAGGAGCCACACGAGGGAUGGCUUCGCCGUGGAGGUAUCCUUCUGGCUCGUCGACCCGCCGGGCGUCUCCUACUUCUCCGUCCGCUGCCCCGGCUACCAAAAGUUCACUUCCUCGCUCAUCUGCGCCGAGGACGCCUUCGUGCUCUUCAGCGUCGCACCGUGGGGGUCCACCCAGCACUACAUCGUCUACACAGCCCGCGGCCGCGGCCCCGGCCCCACCACGAUUUUCGGCCUCCUGCCCCGCGGUGGCGAGCACUACGCCGUGGCCUUCAUCGACCGCAAGGUCCGCAACUGGACCCUCGAUGGCGAUUCCUGGCGCUUUGACACCUACAUCUUCUCGUCCAAAACGGGGGCAUGGAGGAGCAGCCACGCGUCCUUGGUGCACCUAUCGGUCUCUGACAAGCGAUUGUGCGACCAACACACCUUCUCCAAGCAGAUCACGGUCGGAGAAGGCUCGAUGGGCUGGGUUGACUCCGACCAUGGCAUUCUCCUUCUCCACAACCUGUUCGAUGACGGGCGUCCUGUCAUCGAUUUAAUCCCAUUGCCCCGAUGUGCCUCGCGGUAUAAAUUCUUCGACGUGGACAUUCUGAACCUCGAGAAGGCGACUCUGACCCACCAGAUAGAGGACAAGGUCCCCAUGAUCGCGCACGAUAAUAAGUUGGAGCUUUGUGAGCUGCGUGUCUCGUUUCUGGUGACCAAUGAUGUUCUUGAGAGGAUGCACUCCCAUGUCACUGACAAGCAACAUAUUUGUUAUGGUCUGGUUAUAGGGAUUUCCUUGUUGAAUACAAGGCUGCGGGAGAACCGGAGACGCGUGCAAGAUAGGCCUUUUGACAGCAACCACGGGAUAUGCCCCAAGAUCCACGAUCCAACUCUCAAGCAAAGGUUCACAAGAGAGCGCCAUGUGGCAAGUACAGUGGAGAAGGCGGCCAACAUCAUCAACGAGUUCGUCGGCCUGCGCCACCACUUCGGUGGCUGCUUCUUCUUCGACUCAUGCAUUGUGUAUGACAUCACUCGUCGAGAGAUGUUCAGAAACCUUUCUGAUAUAUGGACGAAGGAAAUCGACCAGUAUUCAACCAACCAGGAUUGUAUAAAGAUGAAAGAAAGUCUCGCUGUUGGCCUUGGUCCUAUUUUGGGUUUGCACAUGAAUGGCUGGGGCUUGUCAAAAACUGGUCCUGAAUUGAAUUCAUUAGCGACGAAAACCGCCGGGCGUCUCCUACUUCUCCGUCCGCUGCCCCGGCUACCAAAAGUUCACUUCCUCGCUCAUCUGCGCCAGGACGCCUUCGUCCUCUUCAGCGUCGCACCAUGGGGGUCCACCCAGCACUACUUCGUCUACACAGCCCGCGGCCGCGGCCCCGGCCCCGGCCCCACCGUUACUCAGCCAUCGCUGCGACUGCUCCCGCAUCCCAGUCCUGCCUUCAACGGCUGGCACACGAUUUUCGGCCUCCUGCCCCGCGGUGGCGAGCACUACGCCGUGGCCUUCGUCGACCGCAAGGUCCACAACUGGACCCUCGAUGGCGAUUUCUGGCGCUUUGACACCUACCUCUUCUCAUCCGAAACGGGGGCAUGGAGGAGCAACCACGCGUCCUUGGUGCACCUAUCGGUCUCUGACAAGCGAUUGUGCGACCAACACACCUUCUCCAAGCAGAUCACGGUCGGAGAAGGCUCGAUGGGCUGGGUUGACUCCGACCAUGGCAUUCUCCUUCUCCACAACCUGUUCGACGAUGGACGUCCUAUCAUCGAUUUAAUCCCAUUGCCCCGUUGCGCCUCGCGGUAUUUCUUCAACGAAAAGAACCUAAAAAUAUUCCUUGACUUGAAUAAAAUCUGGAGGAUAUGUUACACGGAAUGGGGUUCUCACAAAUCACAAUGGGCAAUCCCUGCAACCCUUACUGUCGAACGGGUAGCACUGCAGCAACAUCGAUUGACCGUGCAAAACGUGACUGUCAGUGUAAUGAACAAGCGCAUAAACCUCUACACACCUGACCGUAGGAUAGUCACCUGUUGA